rnacentral:rRNA from 1 species
CAAGGCAACGAUGCAUAGCCGACCUGAGAGGGUGAUCGGCCACACUGGAACUGAGACACGGUCCAGACUCCUACGGGAGGCAGCAGUAGGGAAUCUUCCGCAAUGGGCGAAAGCCUGACGGAGCAACGCCGCGUGAGUGAUGAAGGUCUUCGGAUCGUAAAACUCUGUUAUUAGGGAAGAACAUAUGUGUAAGUAACUGUGCACAUCUUGACGGUACCUAAUCAGAAAGCCACGGCUAACUACGUGCCAGCAGCCGCGGUAAUACGUAGGUGGCAAGCGUUAUCCGGAAUUAUUGGGCGUAA